rnacentral:rRNA from 1 species
GGCUCAGAACGAACGCUGGCGGCGUGCUUAACACAUGCAAGUCGAGCGCGAAAGGGGCUUCGGCUCCGAGUAGAGCGGCAGACGGGUGAGUAACACGUGGGUAACCUACCCCUGGGUGGGGGAUAACCACUCGAAAGGGUGGCUAAUACCGCAUAAGACCACGUUUCCGAGGAGACGCGGUAAAAGGCGCAAGACGCCUGGGGAGGGGCCCGCGGCCGAUUAGCUAGUUGGUGAGGUAACGGCUCACCAAGGCAACGAUCGGUAGCUGGUCUGAGAGGAUGAUCAGCCACACUGGUACUUAGACACGGACCAGACUCCUACGGGAGGCAGCAGUGGGGAAUAUUGCGCAAUGGGCGAAAGCCUGACGCAGCAACGCCGCGUGGGUGACGAAGGCCUUCGGGUCGUAAAGCCCUGUCAGGUGGGAAGAAACCUGCCCUUGAGGCAGCUGACGGUACCACCGAAGGAAGCACCGGCUAACUCCGUGCCAGCAGCCGCGGUAAUACGGAGGGUGCAAGCGUUGUUCGGAAUCACUGGGCGUAAAGGGCGCGUAGGCGGCCGGUCGGGUCUGAUGUGAAAGCCCGGGGCUCAACCCCGGAAGUGCAUUGGAAACUGACAGGCUUGAGUCCGGAAGAGGAGGGCAGAAUUCCCGGUGUAGGGGUGAAAUCCGUAGAGAUCGGGAGGAAAACCAGUGGCGAAGGCGGCCCUCUGGUACGUGACUGACGCUGAGGCGCGAAAGCGUGGGGAGCAAACAGGAUUAGAGACCCUGGUAGUCCACGCUGUAAACGAUGGGUGCUAGGUGUAGGGGUUAACCAUAACUUCUGUGCCGAAGCUAACGCGAUAAGCAUCCCGCCUG